UGAGAUAUGUAACUCAAGGAUUUGAAAGGUGAUCUUAAUAGGUAUAACACUACCUUGUUAGAUCACAGACACCAGUUUAUAAAGAGUUUGCAUGUCUGAUAGUAACUUAUAGACCCGAAUUUCGUUUUACUGUUAUUUACAUAGGGUACUGGAGUGCAGUUGAUUCUCUUUAGUGUAAUGUUGAAUCAACUUCAGAAUUGGAUUCUGAGGGAGUCAGUACUCCUAUGGGUCCCAAUGAUCCCCACUCAACUCAUAUACCAUGAUUGCACAGUUUAUGAGGGUUGGAUUGGUUCUAGGUCCAUUCUUAAGCAUAAAAGUGUUUUGGUAAUUACGUAAGGUUGCACAAGAGAAAAUGAACAAAGUCUCUAGAUUGAACUAAUUGAUUAAUUAGAUGGCCUUAUAUGGUUAAUUAAUCAAUUAGAACCCGUUUUGGGCUAAAUUAAGUGACUUAAGCCUUGAUGGGCUUAAGUCGCUUAAAUACACCCUUAUAACUUAGGGUUUUCUAAUGACUUUAGUUAAUUGUCUUCCAUCUCCAGAGAAAGAGAGCGCCAAGGUUUCCACCCUUUCAAAGCCUACACUUUGGAGUACCAAGAUCGUGGUUCAAGUCAUUGGGCGAAAGAUUUUGGGUGUGCGGGACCUCCAGACUAUUUAGACAUGUUUUUCACCACAAGGAAUUGAUCUGAAAACAUCCAAAUCCAGGUAUGAGGUUCAUAUCUCUAGAUCUAUAGUUAAUAAUGGUUUUUACUGUCAUUUUAUUUCAUUGUGAUAGAUUUAGAGAUGCUUAGGGAUAGAUACAUGCACCCUACAAGAUCCAGGGCAUGACAACAGAGUAAUCCAGGGUUCUUAACAACAACAUCAAAAGGAAAAUAAAAUCUUAUAACAUUCAAAUAUCCACAAUAUUAAAAGCCUCUAAAACUCCUACAAGUUUGCUUGCAACUGAAGAAAAAACCUUAGAGCAAACCAACUCAAGUUGGUUUGAAACCCCUAAUGCAGAAACUAAAAUUCGUAUAUGUUAACAUGAUAAUUUAAAGAUUCAGCAGAGAAGGAAUUUUGAACAAAUAUUCUUGCUAAAUCCUAAUGACAAACAACUCCAUAGCCAAACAAAAGAAACCUGGUUACCAAAUAUUUCUAAUCUUUGUGAUUAUAAAGAUACUACCAUCUAGAUAAUAACAAUUUCAGCACUCCAAGUAACUUAAUUUCCCCCUUUUUAUGAAUAUGUUAUGCAUCAAAUCAGUCCUGUUGUAUGAAAUAAUAGGGAAAUUCAAUGGUUAGUGAUCAUUUAGAACAGAAAUUAGAUACAAGAUUUUAGAACUGGACCAGUAAAACUAGUCGAUACUGGUUUUUGCUGUGAGCCAUCAAUUUCCUUACUUUUAAGUAAAUGUUACCAGCAGAUGACCCCACUAGUAGCUCUUUCUCUUUGCUGGACAACCCCACUAAAUCUUCAAUCAAAUAAUAAUAAUUAUGUAAAGAAACAUACCCAAUGACACAUGUGGGGCAAGAACUUUGAGAAAAACUCCCACUUUGAAGACUAGAUCCAACCACAAAAUCUUGAGGCUGUAACAACAAUAAACUUUCAGAACAUGUAUCAAAUUGCCUACAUGAUAGCAAAGUUAAAAUAGAAAUAUGAUACUAUACAUGACAAUAAAAUAUUAUGAGCACAGGAGAUGUUAAGAAAAAUUAAUAGGAAAAGCAAUCAAUGACAUUGUAGCAUGAAGUGUAUACAAACAGAACACAACAAGACAGUGGGUUUUAGACUGCCAGCCAUGAACUAUUGUGUAAAGACCACUGCAACUAUUGAUGUUAAAGGUCUUUCUCUGGUCUAAUCCAAUUCAAUAGUAGGAUAUAAUAAGGGGAUUCUUGACAGGCAUAGAAUGCAGAGUCUAACCUUGGAGUCCUUAUAGGAGCCUAAAUAAAGUUAAUUCACAGCACCAUUCAAGCAAGCCAGUGAUGGGGUUGCAUGGAAAGCAUUCUCAAUUGCAGAAAUAAUCCCUCACAGGGGAUAUUUCUCAGAAUUAGCAGGUACAUAGCCAGCUUCAUUCAGAACUUUUUGUCUUGGUCAAUCAGUGAACUCUAAAUAAAUUUCAGUAUGAAAUAAACAAACAUAAGAACAUACAAGAUGAUGGAAGGAAGCAGUAUGUGUAAUGUUAUGAAUUCUAAAGUAAGAUAGAAUUUAUCGGUCUGUUUCAACUAAAGCAUGAUAAGUAGAUUCCUGCCAGUGACCCUUGUGUGUUUAUAAGUGAUGAAGUAUUGGAUCAUAAUCAAGCAUAUAUUAUUGAAGCUGAUGUCAAUCAGAUAGCAGUGUUGGAUCUUGAGAAACUUAGAAGUGCGUUCAAUAAAUAAUGUUAUGUGAAUAUUUUAAUAAUUUUGACAAGAGUACAACCUAUUUGAUAUUAUAUGAAUUUCAAAAUGGAGAAAACAGAUGCAAUCUGAAACAAAAAUUCUUCCUAUGUAGAGACUUGCAAUGAAAGACACCAAAUAGAAGUGUGAGAAAUAAAUCAGAAUGCCAACCUGGAAAGGGUCUUAACAUUAUCUGCAUGUAGAAAUUAGAAAGCCCAAGUGAUGAUGUAAAACAUCUUGUGCUUCCAAGUCCCAUAAGGAUGCCUCAAAUUUAAACAUAUGGAAAAUCCUCAGAAAAAUGUUCUUUUGCAAUGGCCAUGGAUUUUAAUCAGUUUGUCAGUAUGGAAGAGUUGAAACUGUCUGAUAAAAAUAUUAACAUUGCAAAACAAUUCC
rnacentral:lncRNA from 1 species